ensembl:lncRNA
UUUUUUCUAUUCUCUUGUCUGUUAAGCUUCUACUCUCUAUAAAUUGAGUCUUCUGUGUUUCACUCUUGUAGCUUUUAGCUCAAAAGUCUGUCUCUCACCUCUCCUCUCUUCAGCCAGACUCCUAACAGAUGCGAAAUGAGUUGGACAGAAACAUAUCAAAGGAGCUGAGAAGUGCCACUGCAGAGCUGGACUUGGCCUCUGCACGUCUCUCUCCGGUGGGAUCGGCCACUCUGGACCCCGUGAGCCGAGCCACGCAGGACUAUCUGACGGUACUCAAGAAGAACUACCACAUCUGAACCCAAAGGUCACAGCUC